UACGUAGGGUGCGAGCGUUAAUCGGAAUUACUGGGCGUAAAGCGUGCGCAGGCGGUUCGUUAAGUCAGAUGUGAAAGCCCCGGGCUUAACCUGGGAACUGCGCUUGUAACUGGCAAGCUAGAGUGUGGCAGAGGGGGGUGGAAUUCCAGGUGUAGCAGUGAAAUGCGUAGAGAUCUGGAGGAACACCGAUGGCGAAGGCAGCCCCCUGGGCUAACACUGACGCUCAUGCACGAAAGCGUGGGGAGCAAACAGG
rnacentral:rRNA from 1 species